rnacentral:rRNA from 1 species
GAUGAACGCUGGCGGCGUGCUUAACACAUGCAAGUCGAGCGAUGAAAGCCUUAUGAACUAUUCGUAGUGAUUGGGGCCGGAUUAGCGGCGGACGGGUGAGUAACGCGUGAGCAACCUGCCUUAAACAACGGGAUAGCCUCGGGAAACCGGGAUUAAUACCGUAUGAGACCCCGCCUUCACAUGAAGAAGAGGUUAAAGUUUUAUCGGUUUAAGAUGGGCUCGCGUCUGAUUAGCUAGUUGGUGAGAUAAAAGCCCACCAAGGCAACGAUCAGUAACCGGCUUGAGAGAGUGAACGGUCACAUUGGAACUGAGACACGGUCCAAACUCCUACGGGAGGCAGCAGUGGGGAAUAUUGCACAAUGGGGGAAACCCUGAUGCAGCGACGCCGCGUGAGCGAUGAAGGAAUUCGUUUCGUAAAGCUCUGUCCAAGGGGAAGAUAAUGACAGUACCCUUGGAGGAAGCCCCGGCUAAAUACGUGCCAGCAGCCGCCGUAACAC